AACGAACGCUGGCGGCGUGGAUAAGACAUGCAAGUCGAACGGGAUAUUAUUUGUAGCAAUACACGUAAUGUCCAGUGGCGUAAGGGUGCGUAACACGUGGGCAACCUGCCGAGAAGUGGGGGAUAGCUCGUCGAAAGGCGAAUUAAUACCGCAUGUGGUUAGUGCUGGAUUCAGCGCGAUACCAAAGCCGGUCGUAGUAAUACGGCUGGCGCUUCUUGAUGGGCCCGCGGCCUAUCAGCUAGUUGGUGAGGUAACGGCUCACCAAGGCUAUGACGGGUAGCUGGUCUGAGAGGACGACCAGCCACACUGGAACUGAGACACGGUCCAGACACCUACGGGUGGCAGCAGUCGAGAAUUUUUCUCAAUGGGGAAACCCUGAAGGAGCGACGCCGCGUGGAGGAUGAAGGUCUUCGGAUUGUAAACUCCUGUCAUUUGGGAACAAUGUGCAUUGGUUAACUGCCGGUGCAUUGAUAGUACCAGAAGAGGAAGAGACGG
rnacentral:rRNA from 1 species